rnacentral:rRNA from 1 species
ACUCAAAUGAAUUGACGGGGAGCCGCACAAGCGGUGGAGCAUGUGGUUUAAUUCGAAGCUACGCGAAGAACCUUAUCCAAGGCUUGACAUCCUGGGAAUCCGCUGGAAACAGUGGAGUGCCUUCGGGAACCCAGUGACAGGUGUUGCAUGGCCGUCGUCAGCUCGUGUCGUGAGAUGUUGGGUUAAGUCCCGCAACGAGCGCAACCCUUAUUGUAUGUUGUACUUUUCAUACGAGACUGCCCGGGACAACCGGGAGGAAGGUGGGGAUGAUGUCAGGUCCGCAUGGCCCUUAUGCCUUGGGCUACACACGUGCUACAAUGGCCGGUACAACGGGUCGCCAACCCGCGAGGGGGAGCUAAUCCCAUCAAAACCGGUCUCAGUUCGGAUUGGAGGCUGCAACUCGCCUCCAUGAAGUUGGAAUCGCUAGUAACCGUGGGUCAGCAUACCGCGGUGAAUACGUUCUCGGCUCUUGUACACACCGCCCGU